UGGGUCCCAACUGUCGCCUUCCAUAGGGUAGGCCUGUACGUUUAACAGUGAGCAGCUUCUCUACAUAUCUGCCAUAACCCAAGAAAGAGUGACGCUAAACUGUGAAACAACUAAAAGGCUUAACGGAAUUUAAUCUUUCAUUGCUUUAAAGGACAUUGGCCCUGCCUCGACAGUUGAACGAUGUCCACCGGUGAUUUAAAAGGUGCUCUCCGUAAACUGGACUCGUUGUUGCGGGCUAUGAAGUAUCCAAGAGACGUCGAUUACAACGGCUUAUCCAAAGGAGAUCCAUCAGCAUUCCUACCAAUAGUGGACUUCAGCUUGACCACGUUCUCCCCCCUCCUCACUGCACAGUUGAUUACGGCAGAGUUCGAGCUCACUGGAAAAACUGAUCUUCGAUUCACCGACACUGUUUAUAAGGUGCUGAGGGAUGUCUUCCAGUACAAACCCGUACUUACCAAGCAGCAGUUCCUACAGUGUGGUUUCUCUCAAAGUAAAAUAGCUGUUAUCUGUGACAUUAUUAACCUUGUCUUGCAACGGCACAAGCAGCUGAAAAAGGAAAAGUUGUGUAAAGAACCCUAUUCCGGGAAAACUGCAGGAGACGCCCAGCCUUUAUCUAGACACUUCUGUUAUAAGGAUGGGCCUCUGAACUCUCCUGGAACUCUGAAUGGUCAACGGAUGAAUGAAGGGAAAGAAGACAAGGAUCUCCCAGAUAAAAGGAGAUCCCAGGUCCCACCUGUGGAAGAGCGGAUUUCAUCCCUGGAAGCCAGUUUAGAGAGUUUUGCACUGGUCAUAGAGAGGCUUCCCACACUGGGAACCCAGUUAGAGAGCCUCCCUAUGGCCCUAGAAAGGCUUUCUACAUUGGGAACCCGGUUAGAGGGCCUUCCUCUUGCUCUAGAUAAGCUUUCUACUCUUGAAACACGCUUGGCUAAACUGGAGACGCAUCUGGAGAAAGGGACGGCCUGCGGAUGCCCAUAUAAGAAUCAAGACCUUGUUACCAUUUCAAAAGAGAACUGGGACAAUCUUCAAAGCAGAGUUUUGUUGUUGGAAACUAAACUAGAACUUGCCAGUAUCCAGAGAGGUCCCCUGGAAGGAAGUCAUGAGCACAAACAGGCAGUAACCCAAGUCCAGCCCUCAUCGCUUACCUUCAGUCCUCCUCUCUCCUGUCCGCAGAAGGGGGUGGGCCAAGAAUGUAUUUGAGAAUCCUGCAAAGUAGUAUGUGGAUAUGUAUUCAAAGCAAGCACAAAGAUGAUCUACAGGACAGGCUGGAGAGGAUAACCAGCAUGAUGAAAAAUACCUCAAGCCUGUUGAAGAUUUCUGAUGUCUCCAUAUAACUCUACAAUUAUCAUCUCAAACCUUUGUUAUGUUAUUCCAUUGUGCCUAAAGUCUAAUAAAAUACAACUUUUAGAAUUAUACUUCUUUAAACAAGCAUUGUAUAAGACUGUUAGAAGCAAGGGAAUUAAUUCAAAAUGUCUAAUAUUAUUUAUUUAUGAUUAAAUCGUUUUAACCUUA